UGCCAAUGAUGAUUCGCCAUGCUAAUACUGAUACACCAGGCCGGCUCCUUCCAGUCAGCCCUGGGUGUAUUUGAGUUCAACACUCCUUCUCGCCACGAUGUGUGGAGAGCUGAGGCAG